GUCUUAUUGAUUAUAAUUUUAAGUCUAAUCUGCCCAAUGAGUAAUUAAAUGGCUGCAGUAUUUUAACUGUACAAAGGUAGCAUAAUAAUUAGUUUCUUAAUUAGGAACUGGAAUGAAUGAUUGGACGAAAUAGUGACUGUCUUAGUUUAAAUUUUAGAAUUUUAUUUUUAAGUUAAAAAGCUUAAAUUUUUUUAAAAGACGAGAAGACCCUAUAGAAUUUUAUAUUAUUUGAAUAUUUUGUUAUUAGGGUUUUAAUAUAGAAUUUUUUAAUUAGUAUUUAGUUGGGGUGAUUGAAAAAUUUAAUAAACUUUUUUUUAUUAUUAACAUUAAUAUAUGAUUAUAUGAUCCAGUUUUUCUGAUUAUAAGAUUAAAUUACCUUAGGGAUAACAGCGUAAUUUUUUUAGAGAGUUCUAAUCGAUAAAAGAGAUUGCGACCUCGAUGUUGGAUUAAAGUUUAUUUUUAAUGUAGGAGUUAAAAUAUUAGGUCUGUUCGACCUUUAAAACUUUACAUGAUCUGAGUUUAAACCGGUGUGAGCCAGGUUGGAUUCUAUCUUUAAUUAAAUUAAAUAUUUUAGUACGAAAGGACCAAGUAUUUGUUAUAAUGAUUUUAUUAGAA
rnacentral:rRNA from 1 species